AUCGCUUCUCGGCCUUUUGGCUAAGAUCAAGUGUAAAGAAAAGACAAAACAUGAUUACAUUUUUUAAAUAAAAUACUUCUUAAGAUACCAACAUUUUUAAAAAUUUAUUUAUUUUAUGUAUGCGCGUACAGUGUAACUGUCUUCAGACACACCAGAAGAGGGCAUCGGAU
ensembl:snRNA LOC120102768 U2 spliceosomal RNA